CGAACGCUGGCGGCGUGCUUAACACAUGCAAGUCGAACGCGAACGUUUCCUUCGGGGAACUAGUAGAGUGGCGCACGGGUGAGUAACGCGUAAGUAAUCUACCCUCGCAUCCGGGAUAACCCACCGAAAGGUGUGCUAAUACCGGAUACGUCUGGACUUAUACAUUGAAUUCAGAGAAAGGUGGCCUCUUCAUGAAAGCUACUGUGCGGGGAGGAGCUUGCGUACCAUUAGCUAGUUGGUAGGGUAAGGGCCUACCAAGGCGAUGAUGGUUAGCGGGUCUGAGAGGAUGAUCCGCCACACUGGAACUGGAACACGGACCAGACUCCUACGGGAGGCAGCAGUGAGGAAUAUUGCGCAAUGGGGGCAACCCUGACGCAGCGACGCCGCGUGGAUGAUGAAGGCCUUCGGGUUGUAAAAUCCUGUCAGAUGGGAAGAAGUGCAUCAUGUCUAAUACAUAUGGUGUUUGACGGUACCAUCAAAGGAAGCACCGGCUAACUCC
rnacentral:rRNA from 1 species